CGACGGUGAGUACACGUAUCCAACCUGCCGUCUACUCUUGGACAGCCUUCUGAAAGGAAGAUUAAUACAAGAUGGCAUCAUGAGUCCGCAUGUUCACAUGAUUAAAGGUAUUCCGGUAGACGAUGGGGAUGCGUUCCAUUAGAUAGUAGGCGGGGUAACGGCCCACCUAGUCUUUGAUGGAUAGGGGUUCUGAGAGGAAGGUCCCCCACAUUGGAACUGAGACACGGUCCAA
rnacentral:rRNA from 1 species